GGAUGAGUCUUGCACAAUGGGGGCGAACCCUCGAUGCAGCGACGCCGCGUGAGCGAUGAAGCCCUUCGGGGUGUAAAGCUCUUUCGGCAGGGAAGAUAGUGACGGUACCUGCAGAAGCAGCUGCGGCUAACUACGUGCCAGCAGCCGCGGUAAUACGUAGGCAGCAAGCGUUGUUCGGAGUUACUGGGCGUAAAGGGUGUGUAGGCGGUUCCGUAAGUCUGGUGUGAAAUCUCCCGGCUCAACUGGGAGGGUGCGCCGGAAACUGCGGGGCUAGAGUGUGGGAUGGGAGAGUGGAAUUCCUGGUGUAGCGGUGAAAUGCGUAGAUAUCAGGAGGAACACCUGCGGUGUAGACGGCUCUCUGGACCAUUACUGACGCUGAAACACGAAAGCGUGGGUAGCAAACA
rnacentral:rRNA from 1 species